rnacentral:lncRNA from 1 species
AUUGGGAAAGCCAUAAUCUAUGUGUCCGCUCGACUCUGUGAUUUAUUUGACGGUAAGGUGUAAAUACGUAAAUAUUGCUAUCAAUCUACUUGAAAGUAAUCAAUACAAAACUCAAAUAUCAAUUAUGAUAUUAAGAUAGGUCUAUUAUGACAUUAAAGCAAAAUCAACUGUACAGUCAUGCGAAAUUUAUUUUAACAGUUUAAACUGAAUAUUUGAUUUAUCAUUCGGUAAACAUAACCAGGCGGUCUUUUCAAAAGCCCCCGUAUUUAUCAAUUCUAUAAACAGACAGAUUUUCAAAAACAUAUAUAUUACAUGUACAAAUUCAGAAAAAAAUGAACUUUAAACCACCCACAGUGUACAAUUCCUUUAAAUGCGUUAUAGAGUAACAAUUUAUUAACAAAGGCGCGUGUUGCUAUAAACUGUUUUAUCGGCUUCUGCAAGUUGAAAAUUUGGCGACAUUUAAAAUCAGAGAAACAAGCUGGUAAGAGUUGUCAUGAAAGUUGUGAGUCACUAAGCGUAGAAGUUACAAUUAAAACAUUUCAAUACACAGGAGAUAAAAUUUUAAAUUUGAAAAUGAUUUUGUAAUUUCAUAAAUAAAAGAUUUUACUGUUAAGAGCUCGAGGUAUACAUAUGGGGUAUUUUAUCCACGAAUUUGUUAUCAACUAGAAACAAUAGCAGAAAAGUUAGUUUAAUCUCACAAAAUACAAAAAGAAACAAGAAAAAAAAGUUAGAUAAACUCAUUUCCGUAUAAAAAGAAUAAAUAUUUACUUUCAGUUAAAAGGCUUUUUUCGCAAUCUUAUUCUUUUUACUGAUAAAAUGGGUCUAUGUUAUCAAAGCAAUACUUAAAUAUACCCCUGACUGGUCCCUUAGAAGCAGAUAACUGUCAUCCUAAUAAGCAGAUCUCUUUGAUACCAGUAUCUGGGGUACCAGAUUAAAUACAUAACUAAUAUGUUGGUAUGAUAGAUGGUAUAUACAAUUACAGAAAUGGACAAAUGAAUAAUGAUAAAUCUCAGCAGUGAAGGUUUAUUAAUUUGUCA